rnacentral:lncRNA from 1 species
UCUCUUUAAACCUAUAAUGGCUCCCUCUAUUAAGUUAUCUCUUUUCUUGCUCUCCUCUGUUCUUGCCCCAAUUCAGUCUUCCUGCUCCCUCAUGUCCUCCUCUCCCCUCCUCUUCUCCUCUUCUCCCUUUCUCUUUCUCCUAACUCUCUCUCCCCUCCCCCAUGCUCCCAAUUAUCUCAGGAGAUCUUGUCCUUUUCUCCUUCUCUGGGGGACCAUGUAUGUCUUUCUUAGGGUCUUCCUUGUUUCCUAGCUUCUCUGGUGGUGUUUGUAAUAGCCAGAACCUGGAAGCAACCUAGAUGCCUCUCAACUGAAGAAUGGAUGGAGAAAAUGUGGUACAUUAACACAAUGGAAUACUACUCAGCGGGAAAAAAUGGAAUCUUGGAAUUCACAGUCAAGUGGAUGGAACUAGAAGAAACCAUCCUGAGUGAGGUAACCCAGUCACAAAAAGACAAACAUGGUCCUUGACUGAAUUCAUCUGCUGAUUCUGUGUGUUAUUUACAGCAACAGACUCAUACUCGUGCACACUCUAACCUGAUUGGCUUUAUUGCAGAAGGAAAUAAGCCAUCAAGAACGAAAGUGGGGAGUGGGAAGAAAGUGGGAGGCACCAGAAAGACAGCAAACCUCCAGCCAAAAGGCAAAAAGAGAUAUGGGCCAUGUCAUCAGAUGUCAAGUCUGCCCACCUGGGCCCUAUGCUCCAAGGGAAAAGUUAUUCUAUGAAAUGCACAGAGCCCUACAUUCAAGAAUUCCGAAAAAAGACAUAUUUAGCAGUGAAAAGAUCUGUCUUGUUUCUCUGUGUAUGAAAUGAUGUCUAUUACCAAAUGGGAGUCACUAAAAACCUGAUUAAUCUAUUUCUCUUCGCUUCUAGUUAAGUCAGCAUGCCAAAAAGGAUGGAAGGGAUUGCAUUACAGUGAUUAACACUAUCAUUAAAUAUUGCAAUGAUCACAAACUGGCACUUUCUACUAUACUUGCAUUGAAUUUUAUUUGGCUGAGACAGAAAUGUGUAUGUGUUUGGG